UACGUAGGGGGCUAGCGUUGUCCGGAUUUAUUGGGCGUAAAGAGCGUGUAGGCGGCCAGGUAGGUCUGCUGUGAAAACUCGAGGCUUAACCUCGAGAUGUCGGCGGAAACCAUCUGGCUAGAGUCCGGAAGAGGAGAGUGGAAUUCCUGGUGUAGCGGUGAAAUGCGCAGAUAUCCUAAGGAACACCCGUGGCGAAAGCGGCUCACUGGGUCUCUGGGCCGAUACUGACGCUGAGGAGCGAAAGCGUGGGGAGCGAACAGG
rnacentral:rRNA from 1 species